AGAAUACAAUUUUACUGGGGAUGUCUACCAGACACAAUCUCCAAAAGAUUCUAGAUGAAUCCACCGGACAAUCCGAAUAUUCACCUACGGAUUUACGUGUAUUAAACGCAUUACCACGUUUUGAGCGAAACUGGCGUCGUCAACUGAGACAUGGAUGGGUGUGAAAUUAUGCGAAAAGGAGCAAUCCUCACUUAAAUUUUGUAAGCGCGAAAAUAUAUUAAGCAAACAAAUGCAGCCUACAAUAAUCUGUGGAACUAAUGAACAGAAUACAUUGGACGUUCUUUUCCACACGUGCUCACAAAAUGAAAGAAUACAGUCCACAAAUGGGAAAUCGUUUUCACGACGAACGGUCGUCGAUUCUAUACUAACCGUAGACUGUAAUACAGAUUCAAAUCAUGUUUCUACUUCCGAUAUUGUUUUCCCUUGUAAUCACAACAUCGCUGAACACGGAAGUUGUGAUUUGAACUAUUCAAGAACAGAAAGACAAAUAAUACAAACAUUCCCUAAUGUGCUACACACUUCAUCAUCGGGUGACAAUGCAAUCACAAAUGAUUGCAUGAUAAAUUCGAUACAGCUCGACAACAAAAACACUGAAUGUUCGAGUUUAGAAGAAAGUAAGCAUGUGCAUUUCGCGUCAAAUGAUGUAAAUAAUGACUCAAAACAAGCAGAUUGUGGAGCUUGUCGCUUGUGGAGCAAUAUGUGCAUUCAAUGAUGACGUCGAAAUAUGCAAAAACAGCUCAUGUCAGAUACCCCUAAAAUUGACUAACACCGGAUUGAGUCAUACUGUGUAUGAACUGUUUCCUUCCAACACGUUUUGUGAUUCAAAUGGAACGGGACACGAUCACGACAAUUGUGAAUAUGAAGGUCUUGGUUCAACAGAUAAAACGACCGUCCCGUUUACUAAACAGGAAACAUCCACCCAACAGACAAAUCUCCAUACUAACGAAAAAGGUUGGAGUUCGGACAUAGGGUCGAUUGCCGAUGAACAACUUGAACCACUUGCAUACGAUUCGAAUGUUGUUUCAGAAACGGGUGCUGACAAGGGUUUGCAUUAUAAACAGAAAGCUGCAGAUAGAGGCACACUUUACUGCGCAUGUGGAGGAAUUGCUGCGGUUGCUGUCAUUGUUAUCUUGCUCAUAAAUUUUUCGUAAACGUACUUGUUUAAAGAUAUGUAAAUGAUAACAGCAUAUCAAAUAUUUUAAUAAACCACAUGUACUCUGGUCUUUAAAAUUUACUUAAAAAAUAAACAUUUGGUAUUGGAAUUUAACAUAGCACAGGCAUUUUGGUAUGUUAAACUUGGUUGUGCCAAUUAACUUUUUGUUAUUCAUAGCAUAUUAGUUUUAUUUAUAAUUUACACAUCAAUUCUUGAGAUUAUUUGUCUAAAUCUGUCUGUAUACUUAAUAUUAUCAAUUACUUUUAGAACACAUGUAAGGAGUAAUUUAAAGCUUCUGGCCAGUGGAAAUAAUUUACUGCAAACCAAUAUGGCAUUAGUUCCGACCAAUGAAAAAAUUAUGCCUAUUUCAUCUAAAUGCGUUUUGUUUGUAAAAACGUAUAAACAAUGUUUGAAAGCACUGGAGUCAAAUUGAAUACUGUAGGCUUGCCACUAUCAUGUAUAUCGUGUAUUAUUACAAUAUCAUUAUUAUUGACCGCUUAAGUUGAGGUGUUUGUGUGCAUUUUAAUUUGUAAGUUGUAUUAUAAUUAA